ensembl:lncRNA
CCAAAUCAAGUCUCAUAUCUAGGUGCUUAAUUUUAGACACCCGAGCCUGACGAAGUGUCUUCCUGGAGAUCACAGGCGCUGCUGUGCCUCAUGUCCCGCCAGACUGGAAGCGCAGCCCUGCCUCGCCGUGCCUGCAGCGGUCACCUGAGGAGAAACCUCCGCGGUGGCAGCGAACAUCGCGGCGCGACAGUGCAGCUCGUGGGGCUGUGGGGACCUCUCGUGGUAAACAACCGACGAGCAAACUCCGGAGCUGUCCCCUGCUAUGGAGUAUUGGAAGUGCAGUGUUGAAAGCCAGAUGUUACUAAGGGCAGAGAGAAGCUGAAGCUUAAGUGAACUGAUACCCCCUGAAGAGAUGCCUGUUGGAUUCCAGAGAACUCCAGUUAGACCCAUAAAAGUGUACUUCUGUCUGCUGAGAAGUGUGGAAACUGUUCCAUGUGGGUCACUUUAUCUUUCUCUCCUGAGCCUAUUUCCUCGGCAUUUACACUGCGGCAAAUAAAGUAUUAAAC